CGUCUUCCCGUCAUCGUAUUGCCGGUCCAGCUCGAAAAUAUCGCACAAUUAGCAUCAUCAUCACUUCAGUUGCGUCUUAUUGCAGAAUCCCGAAGUAAAUAUAUAAAUAAGUAAAAUGGCAUUUCUCGCCGGACUCUAUCGUCACCGGCAACUUUCAUCACUUUCAAUUCAGCCGAAUUAUUGCUACUCAUGGAGUUGGCGAUAUCUCUUCUUGUAUCCUAGUUCUACAACUAGGUGGCUCUGUAGUGGUAGCACUGAGUCGACUCGGUCAGAAUUUCCCUUCGAAAAUGCGUACAAUAUCUUAGGAGUACCGGAGACCAGCUCAUUUUCCGAAAUCAAGGCUUCGUUUCGAAAAUUAGCCAAGAAAACUCACCCGGACCUUGCUGAGUCGAAGAACCACUCAGCUGCCUCAAAACGUUUCAUUCAAAUCCUUGCAGCUUAUGAGAUACUUUCAGAUUCUGAGAAGAGGAUUCAAUAUGACCUGCAUCUUCUAUCCCAAAGGAAGCUUUUGCAAAAAAAUUGGGGACAUUGUGGACAAGGUUCAAAAUUGUACAUGUACGAAUCCCACAGGAUAUCAAUUAAGGAAAUGGAAGUUGUUGAAUGGUUAAAGUGGUAUAGAUUUGCUAUAAAUGAUAUAGUGUCAGAGAAGAAAGUUAUAGCUGGAACUGGCUACUUUGAUGUACUUCAAGCAGAUUUUUAUUCAGCUAUACAUGCAGCAUACUAUGGCCCUGUGAUUGAGUCCAUGGACCUUCUUCCUGAUCGCUUUGAAGCUGAGGAGAGGUCUGUGUAUGAAAAUCCAGAGGUGCUGCACUUGGUUUCAGGGCGUGAUCUUUUUGGAAUGGUCUGCUUGGCUAAUAAUGAUCCCAAAUUGUCUUUUGCCUGCAACCAAAAUCUGACUCCUAUAAACAUUGCUUUGGACAUGUGUUGGUCUGUCGAGAAUGCAAGCAGUUGUAUGAAUUCUAAUGUAGUAAAUGAUGUUCGAAUUUCUCCCCAACAAACCUAUAAUAUUACAAGUUAUGAAUCAGAUGCAUAUAGAGAUUUAGAAUUGCAUGUCUCCGGAAGGGUGGUUGCUGUGGCUACUCGAGUCCCUCCUAAAAGCUACCGUAAUGGGAUUCAGAAUGAAGAUGUUCAAGAUCACAUUCAUGUUUUUCUUAGUUCAGAUGAAAGUCCCUUUCACACUGGCAGAGGGUUCUCUAAGGAUUCUUUUUUGGAUGGUGCAGUUGGAUCAAGGAUUCCACUUGGAACUAUAACUGGUUUGGGGACUAGCCCAGAAGAGGGGUCAUGCUUUGUCUACAAUAGCAGUGGUACAAAAACCCAUGUGAUAAUGAAACAUAGGACAUUGCUGGUUAAGCAUAUGCACUGGUUUCAAGUAGGAGAUGAAGUUUCUGUUUGUGAGUGUAGAUGUAGUAGAGCCCGAUUACCACCUAGCAAGUUUUGGUUGUUUGAACCUCGCUGUGGUAUGCAUGAUAUAGGUGGUUGGUAUAUUGAAACAUUUGGCAGAGACAAAAAAGGCCGCACUGUCCUGUCCCAAAGAUAUUGGGAUGGUUUUGAUGUGAGCAAACAAUUUGACAAAAGGCUUCAUCCAGCAAUGUAUUUGCUUGCCCUUGCAUAUAGAACUCUAGAUCUUGAAGAUGCAAAAAGAAGGAAGUGGGCCUUCAGGGAUAUUUUUGAUGUACAAAUGUUCAGAAUUCUCAGCUGGUGUAAGAAACUUGUUUAGGAGGUAUGAAGUUGGGUAUUUUUACAAAAUGUAAAUGCUUCAGCCCUGUGGCUUUACAGAAUUUGCUUCAUUUCUAAGGUCACAAGAUUGGUUGUCAGGUUGCUUUUGUCUCCAAAUGGGUCAAGGUCAUAUUAGGUAUUUCUAUGAUAUCUGGGAGACUUUAAAUUCUCAACUAUUGCAAGGAAGUUGUUCAAAAGGUAUAUAAUGCAGGGCUUUCUAGUUCUGGCAUUGUAAAUACUUUUUUAUUCCAGUGCCUGGAAAAUUAUGAAAGCUUAAGUGAAAGCAUUAGCUAUUAAUUUAUGUGUGUGCUGUGGUCAUUUCUAAAAGCAAAUCCUUAACCUGCCAAUUUUUGUGUGUGCUCUUGUCAAUUCUAAUGCUUUGUCUGAAACUUCUAUAAUAUUUCUGAAUAACCUAUAUUGAGUCACUGUCACAAGAAACUUUAGUUUCACUGGUGGUGAUUCUGCUGAAUCUAUCAACCUGAAUCCUGGUAUGAUUAUUCCAAAAGGUGACUGAUAGAAUAUGGUGAUGAAGAUUGCCUUUUAACAUGCCAGUUUGUGUGUGUGCUCUGGUCAUUUCUAAAAGCAAAUCCUUUUGCUCACUUCUUGCAACGGUAGUUCCUGAAGUUGUUAUUCAUCAGGCAUGAAAGUGAGAGGACUAUUGUUUAUCAAAAUAUGAGCCUCCUGUCAUCCUGUUAUGAUUGUUCAGAAAGAUGAUUCAUAGGAUACAUUAAGAGAAUGAAUUUCCUCCUGUGCUACUAUAGUUCUUUCAACAAUAAGUUGUUCUCUCUAGUUGUCUAUCAAAAUUGGAAAGAAAGGUGGUUAUUUAAGUGGAGGUCAAAGAGGACAAGCCAAUCUCUGUUGAGAGUUCAUGUGGCUACAAUUCUGUUCAAAUGAAGAAUUCACAUAGUAAAAUCAUAGUAUUUUAGGUAAUUCAAAUUAUAUGAUGUGGGAUUAUAUUUGCUGGAUUCACAUGUUUGGGUUUUUUGGUAUAUCAUGUUAGUACAAGCCUCAAGCCUUACUUUGACUUACUUUCAUGGCUUCUCCAAUUGAAGGAUUUCAUACACAUGCAAGUUGUAACUUUGAUAUAUUAUUCUUUUUUUACUGAUCAAUAAAUUUAUCCUUAGUUUCUGUAUCAUUUGUUUCUUUCACAUUUUUCUUUGACUUCCCUGUUUCUUAAAUCAUUGUAAUGGUUUCCUUAAACAAAUAUCAUAGAAAGUUGAACUUUUAAGAAAUGCUUCUGUCAAUGCAAAUUACAGAUUCAUUAAUGGUAUGAAAUUAUUGUUGAUCCAUGCCUCCUCUUUAACCUUUACUUCAGCAGAUCUUCCCAUUUGCAGUUCUGUCCGCCUGCCAAUGCACGGUAAUAUCUAUCUCUACAAUAGACAGGUCUGCCAUCUGCAGCCUCAGCAGCAGCUGCUGCUGCCAAGUCAUCAUCAGAUUUGGCCUCCACUGGCAAUUGAAGCAGCCCCUCUUUUCUACAUAUAUAAAUAGAUGUUGUGGUCAAGGCUGGAUUCGAGCUCGAGCUCUACUAUAUGCAAACCGAGCCAAGCUGAGCUCAAGCUUGGCUCGGUUUGCAUAUAGUAGAGCUCGAGUUCGAGCUCGUUGAAGCUAAGCUUGAACUCAGUUCGAAUUCGGUUUGGCUCGUUUCGAGCUUGAGCUUUUAAUUAGCUCGUUAUUAAAACGACGUUGUAUUAAUACAUAUUGGUCAAAACGACGUCAUUUUGUAUUAAAAUUUUUAAUUCGCAAAUUUGAUGAGUAGCUUAAGCUCGAGCUUGUAUAGGGUUGGCUCGUUUCGAGCUUAUUCGAACCGAGCUCGAGCUCGAGCUCAAACCAACUCAGUUCGAAUCCAAUCCUAGUUGUGAUAAUGUACGUGUUGGAUGCACUUCCGAAUUGAAGGGUUGGAAUCUCUAUUUUUCUGUACAUACCUUAUGUUAGACUCUUUGUUUGAAGUCUUUUCAACUGGAUCACUGGAGGGGUAAAAAGAGGAGUUCUGAAAGGGAUGCUCCCUUGGUGUAGCAAAGUUAAAUAGCAACUCUGCCGUCACAAGUCAAGAUGCUAAAUUGUAAUUGUUGAACUGAAGAUAUCAGUCCGAGUUUAGAUACCCAAACCAAACUGUCAUUGUUUUCUAUGUAGGAGUUAUUGGCUGCCCAUUGAAUUUCUUAUGGUAGCCAAGUGAUAACUGAGCUAAGCUACAGCAGCCAGAAAGGUGAGGAAACUGAAAGGAACAAGAUUUGAAAUGAUUAGGGGUUUAUUGAUAUUUUGUUUGGACCGAGCCAUGAGCUCGUGAGCUCACUGAGCUAACCAACAGCAAACUCGAGUUCAACUCGACAAUAAUUGAGUCAAUCCUAACUCGACAUGAACUGAGCCGCAAGCAGCUCAAAAGCGGCUCCUCGCCUACACCUCUAGUCCUCAUACUUUGAGAUCUGUUGGAUAGAAUCUCCUUGCCAUAUGCAAAUGUUUGGGUUCAAAAUUACAGUGUCUCUCUAUGGAAGUCUUGACUUGCCCUCAUAAAAGCUUAAUUUCUCCACAGACUAUAUUGCCAUUGAAUCCUUCACUACAAUAUGUGAAGUCAACUCGAUAAACCUAAUUGUUGCUAUUUUACUAAUGAGCACAAUCAGUUGUUAAAUGUUUGGGUGGUAGUUUAUUCAUUUUUAGUUGUCCACCUGAAUAGAGAUUAGAGACAUAUAUUUGUGUUGCAAAAUAUAAUAUUCUUGGCAUGGUACAGCCUUUCUCUCAAAAGUGCUUUAUUAUAGUAAGUGAACACUGCAAAAUCAGCAUUAUAAACCGAAAGUUCUCUCUCUCUUUUUUUUUAAUCUCAUUGACAAAUAUGAAUAUUUGGCUCCACCAAUACAUGACUUGAAAAGCCAGCCAUAGCUAGCAUGCCCUAAGUCACCACCAUUCUCACAAACAACAAACCCACCAUUUCUUAGAUGUGGAGGUACCAAUCAGGACCCUGAAUUUAUGUUUUCAUAUGAGAGGAAAGGGCAUGUCUUUGGGUCAGGUAAAGAUGAGUGUUUUGCAAACUCACACAGCCCAUUGGCAACUCUAAGAUAGUUUUGCAAAUGGGUAGUUGUUAACAUUAUUAUUUGCCGUGUUGCUGAGUGCAGCAAUUAGAUUAGGUGAAGGCAAAGUGGGUGCAGAUAAAUUGUUUGCCCAAAGUACCAGCUCAAAAAUGGGAGAGAAACGUGUGAUCUUUGAGGCGUUUUCUGGGUCACAACACAAGAUGCUUGUUGCAUUAGAUCCACCCAUUUUUGUUCUUUUAAUAAAAAAGUUUCAUGGAUGAAUAUCUGUGAAUUGAUUUUAUUGCCCUGCCAACAAUGAAAACAUAGUUUUUGUUAUUAAAGGAAAUAAAAAAAAUUGCCUGUUCUAUCGAA